rnacentral:rRNA from 1 species
GAUGAACGCUAGCGGCAGGCUUAAUACAUGCAAGGCGAGGGGGCACUUCUGUGUCACCGUCGAACGGGUGCGUAACGCGUAUGCAACCUACCUAUCACUGGGGGAUAGCCCGGGGAAACCCGGAUUAAUACCGCAUAACACAGGGGUCCCGCAUGGGUACUAUUUGUUAAAGAUUUAUCGGUGGUAGAUGGGCAUGCGUUCGAUUAGCUAGUUGGCGGGGUAGCGGCCCACCAAGGCGAUGAUCGAUAGGGGAGCUGAGAGGUUGAUCCCCCACACGGGCACUGAGAUACGGGCCCGACUCCUACGGGAGGCAGCAGUAGGGAAUAUUGGGCAAUGGAUGGAAGUCUGACCCAGCCAUGCCGCGUGCCGGAUGAAGGCGCUCUGCGUUGUAAACGGCUUUUAUUCGGGAAGAAGAGUAGGGAUGCGUCCUUAUGUGACGGUACCGAAUGAAUAAGCACCGGCUAAUUCCGUGCCAGCAGCCGCGGUAAAAC